GCAACAUACACAAAAAUUAAACGGAACAAUUUACUCCGAAGGCUGCAAGUGAGCUAGAAGGCGCUGCACUUAAGGUGGCUGGAGUGAGCGAGCAAGGAACUGAUUUAGAGUACUUACUGGGUUAUUGGCAUUUUGAUGGUCACUGUGCAAUACUUUACACUCAGCAAAUAAAGGCAGGCUGGCGACAUAACCAGACGUGCGGUUUGUAUUACUGGGACGACAAAGUCGAUAAUGCACCAUCCCGACAAGAGUGUGAGAAACACUACCAGGAUUACUGUAAUCCAUACGGUAAUGAGCAGGUUCUUUACAAUUCAAGCUGCCGGUCACUUCCAGGAUGUUGAAUAUUUUAUUAGCAAAUUUGAUUAUCCAAUAAAUUGUACACUACUUACGAGGUA